UACGGAGGGUGCAAGCGUUAUCCGGAUUCACUGGGUUUAAAGGGUGCGUAGGUGGGUCUGUAAGUCUGUGGUGAAAUCUCUGAGCUUAACUCGGAAACUGCCAUGGAUACUAUAGAUCUUGAAUACCGUGGAGGAUAGCGGAAUAUGUCAUGUAGCGGUGAAAUGCUUAGAUAUGACAUAGAACACCAAUUGCGAAGGCAGCUUACUACCCGAAUAUUGACACUGAGGCACGAAAGCGUGGGGAUCAAACAGG
rnacentral:rRNA from 1 species